GGAGUGUGACAUUUCUGCGAGAAUGCUUAAAUACCGAUUUCCCGCAGGAACAAUGGCGCUGUCUUCAGUGGCACAGCGGAGCAGUUCUGUGAAGAUGCAAAGAUACACGAAAAAAAUUCCAGAACAUCUGGGAGAAUAUUUAAUGGAAAAUCGCUUGGUUAAAACCUGACACUUAACAGGUAUGUGUUGUUUUAGUACUUUAUGAUUGAGCAUAGCAUUUAAUCCACACCUAGACUAAACCGAAUUUUUUUUGUCAUUGAACAGCAUUCUGAGUGUGGACGAGUAGCCAGUGAAGAUAAUGAAUGUCGGAUGUCACUGACUAGCAGCUUCAUUUUGAAUGAGGGUCGCUGUCUGCCCAUUGAUAGAGGCCAGAUUGUCUUGGAAGUUCCAAAGUUGCAACGAUUUCUUUGGUUGAAUCCGUGGACAUGAAACCCACAGAUACAGAGGGUCGGCCCGGUGCAGUGGCUCACGCCUGUAAUCCCAGCACUUUGGGAGGCCAAGGCAGGUGGAUCACCUGAGGUCAGAAGCUCGAGACCAGCCUGGCCAACAUGGGUACUGCUUUCUCUUGCUGCAGCUUGCUUCCUCCCUCAGGUAUGAAGUUAAGAUAACUUGAAGAAGGAUAUUGAAUGUUCCUAACACAAAGAAAUGAUAAAUGUUUGAGAUGGUGGAUGUGCUAAUUGCCCUGAUCUGAUGACUAUACAUUAUAUAUAUUGAAACAUCAGUAUGUACCCCAUGAAUAUGUACAAUUAUAUGUCAACUUAAAAACAUUCAAAAGUAAAAAAAAAAA
rnacentral:lncRNA from 1 species